CAGUCGCCGCGGGAAUACGAAGGGGGCUAGCGUUGUUCGGAUUUACUGGGCGUAAAGGGCGCGUAGGCGGACUGAUAAGUCAGGGGUGAAAUCCCAAGGCUCAACCUUGGAACUGCCUUUGAUACUGUUUGUCUUGAGUUCGAGAGAGGUAAGUGGAACUGCGAGUGUAGAGGUGAAAUUCGUAGAUAUUCGCAAGAACACCAGUGGCGAAGGCGGCUUACUGGCUCGAAACUGACGCUGAGGCGCGAAAGCGUGGGGAGCAAACAGGAUUAGAUACCCGCGUAGUCCCUGUCUCUUAUAC
rnacentral:rRNA from 1 species